AAACUAAAGAAAAGAUGGAAACAUUUUAAAGGCAACUUUUUAUUUAUUUCUUUAUUGGCAAAUGCUUUGAAUAAGGUUGAAGCAAUGCGUCUAUAUACACCCCUCCGAACAGUGACAUGUCAGAAAGCCUAAAGAAAAACACACUUUGUAACAGCUCGAUUAUAUGAUCGUUUUAUACGCACACAGUUCUUUUGUUUUCCUUCAAAACGUUCACUUAUUUUCAGUUUUUGGUUCGGGAAACAUCUACAAAUGUCUACAUUAAACAAUGCAAUUAAGAUAUACAUACAUUUAUAAAAACAAAGGUUAAAACAUGCAGGGUGUGUAGUGCGUCACAACCUUUUGUAAAGUAUUUUCAAAGAAAGGCAGACGGACCCACGGACAGAGAGGAGGGUUGAUAAUAAUAAUUGUUAUAUAGAUAUACAGUCAUUUCCUAAAAAAACCUCUAUGCCAACUCUCUUAUAUUGGUUUUAAUUUAUGUGCAAAAGAAGCUUGUCCAUGUCCAACGUUAAAUACAUUUUGUUAUGUCUAAUGCUCAAGUCUAUGCUACCAAGCUGUGAGGAGCUCAAUAUACAAAAUGUGAUAAUUAUAUUAUUUAAGUUUCACUGCCCAAGCCUUUAAUGAUCAUUAAAUGACUCACUUCCUGUGCUGUAGUAGUGCUCUUUGACCCUUUAUUGUCCUGUGAUGCUAACGCUAACCGAGCUAACAGACUGGUGCAGGGAUGACGUAUUUUUUUAAUCCGACCCCGAAGGCAGCAUCUCCCUGGUUCCCUCUGCUAAAAGCCAAUGGGAUUUCUCCAUGGGUCUGUGGUAAACAAAACGUUUAGGAAAAGCUAUAAAGGAACUACAGCACGGUCACUGACUCGCCUGUUAGCAUCACACAACUCACCUAACUAAAGGUCAUCACGCCCAACAUUAGCCGCCGUUAGCUUAGCAUGAAGUCAUGUGACCGUGCUAUGAGUCAGGUGAUGCUAACAGGCGAGUCGUGAUGCUAACAUGUGAGUCAGGUGAUGCUAACAUGUGAGUCAGGUGAUGCUAACAGGUGAGUCGUGAUGCUAACAGGCGAGUCGCGUGAUGCCAACAGGCGAGUCGUGAUGCUAACAUGUGAGUCAGGUGAUGCUAACUGGCGAGUCGUGAUGCUAACAGGUGAGUCGUGAUGCUAACAGGCGAGUCGCGUGAUGCCAACAGGCGAGUCGAGAUGCUAACAGGCGAGUCGUGAUGC